rnacentral:rRNA from 1 species
UAGGGAAUCUUCGGCAAUGGGGGGAACCCUGACCGAGCAACGCCGCGUGAGUGAAGAAGGUUUUCGGAUCGUAAAGCUCUGUUGUUAAGGAAGAACGAGUGUGAGAAUGGAAAGUUCAUACUGUGACGGUACUUAACCAGAAAGGUACGGCUAACUACGUGCCAGCAGCCGCGGUAAUACGUAGGUCCCGAGCGUUGUCCGGAUUUAUUGGGCGUAAAGCGAGCGCAGGCGGUUAGAUAAGUCUGAAGUUAAAGGCAGUGGCUCAACCAUUGUAGGCUUUGGAAACUGUUUAACUUGAGUGCAGAAGGGGAGAGUGGAAUUCCAUGUGUAGCGGUGAAAUGCGUAGAUAUAUGGAGGAACACCGGUGGCGAAAGCGGCUCUCUGGUCUGUAACUGACGCUGAGGCUCGAAAGCGUGGGGAGCGAACAGG